AACUUCUGAAUGUUGACCUCGGAUCAGGUAGGAAUACCCGCUGAACUUAAGCAUAUCAAAAAGCG
rnacentral:rRNA from 1 species